rnacentral:rRNA from 1 species
UGAUUUCACACUGUCAAGAAAAGUCUCUAUCGAGGUUAAAGGUACCCGUACCGCAAACCGACACAGGUGGGUGAGGAGAGUAUCCUAAGGCCCGCGAGAGAACUGUUGUUAAGGAACUCGGCAAAAUGACCCCGUAACUGAGGGAUAAGGGGUGCCACCAUCCGGUGGCCGCAGAGAAUAGGCCCAAGCGACUGUUUACCAAAAACAUAGGUUUCUGCUAAGUCGCAAGCGAUGUAUAGGAGCUGACGCCUGCCCGGUGCUGGAAG